rnacentral:rRNA from 1 species
UACAGAGGUCUCAAGCGUUGUUCGGAUUUAUUGGGCGUAAAGGGUGCGUAGGCGGCGCGGUAAGUCGGGUGUGAAAUCUCGGGGCUUAACUCCGAAACUGCAUUCGAUACUGCCGUGCUUGAGGACUGGAGAGGAGACUGGAAUUUACGGUGUAGCGGUGAAAUGCGUAGAUAUCGUAAGGAAGACCAGUGGCGAAGGCGGGUCUCUGGAUAGUUCCUGACGCUGAGGCACGAAGGCCAGGGGAGCAAACGGG